UUUGUGAUCGAUUGGAAGCAAGCCCACCCUGACUCAAAUUGACCACUCAAAGGUUGAGAGGAAACAAGGACUAACACAUAUACAUUU
rnacentral:lncRNA from 1 species